rnacentral:lncRNA from 1 species
GGGUGAAGAAGAAUCUAGAAAGAGAUCUCUAGGUCACUGAGGCUAGGAGGAGGACUUUGGAGGAUGCUCCAAGGCCCAGUCCAAGCUUCAGAUUGUGUAGCUCAAAGGCCUCCUCACUGUGGAGUACAGGCUCCUGAAGGCACAGUAGAGGAGAGUUAUUGAUCUUGAGGAGGAACUUUGGUGGGAGGUGAGAUCGGUC